AGCUAUUUAGGUAGCGCCUCGUGAAUUCAUCUCCGGGGGUAGAGCACUGUUUCGGCAAGGGGGUCAUCCCGACUUACCAACCCGAUGCAAACUGCGAAUACCGGAGAAUGUUAUCACGGGAGACACACGGCGGGUGCUAACGUCCGUCGUGAAGAGGGAAACAACCCAGACCGCCAGCUAAGGUCCCAAAGUCAUGGUUAAGUGGGAAACGAUGUGGGAAGGCCCAGACAGCCAGGAUGUUGGCUUAGAAGCAGCCAUCAUUUAAAGAAAGCGUAAUAGCUCACUGGUCGAGUCGGCCUGCGCGGAAGAUGUAACGGGGCUAAACCAUGCACCGAAGCUGCGGCAGCGACACUAUGUGUUGUUGGGUAGGGGAGCGUUCUGUAAGCCUGUGAAGGUGUGCUGUGAGGCAUGCUGGAGGUAUCAGAAGUGCGAAUGCUGACAUAAGUAACGAUAAAGCGGGUAAAAAGCCCGCUCGCCGGAAGACCAAGGGUUCCUGUCCAACGUUAAUCGGGGCAGGGUGAGUCGACCCCUAAGGCGAGGCCGAAAGGCGUAGUCGAUGGGAAACAGGUUAAUAUUCCUGUACUUGGU
rnacentral:rRNA from 1 species